rnacentral:rRNA from 1 species
AAUGAACGUUGGCGGCAUGGAUUAGGCAUGCAAGUCGAGCGCGAAACGUAGCAAUACGUGGAGAGCGGCGAAAGGGAGAGGAAUAUGUGGGAACCUACCUUCGGGCCUGGAAUAGCGGCGGGAAACUGCCGGUAAUGCCAGAUAACGUCCCCGGACCAAAGGUGUGAUUCCGCCUGGAGAUGGGCCCACAUCCUAUCAGCUUGUUGGUGUGGUAACGGCGCACCAAGGCUAAGACGGGUAUGGGGUGUGAGAGCAUGCCCCCACUCACUGGGACUGAGACACUGCCCAGACACCUACGGGUGGCUGCAGUCGAGAAUCUUCGGCAAUGAGCGCAAGCUUGACCGAGCGAUGCCGCGUGCGGGAUGAAGGCCCUCGGGUUGUAAACCGCUGUCGUAGGGGAAUAACGGUCGGUGGGUUCUCCCAUCGAUUUGAAUGAUCCUAGGAGGAAGGACGGGCUAAGUUCGUGCCAGCCGCCGCAGUAACAC